rnacentral:rRNA from 1 species
UGCUUAGUACGGCGAGUGAGCGGCAAAAGCUCAAAUUUGAAAUCUGGUACCUUCGGUGCCCGAGUUGUAAUUUGGAGAGGGCAACUUUGGGGCCGUUCCUUGUCUAUGUUCCUUGGAACAGGACGUCAUAGAGGGUGAGAAUCCCGUGUGGCGAGGAGUGCGGUUCUUUGUAAAGUGCCUUCGAAGAGUCGAGUUGUUUGGGAAUGCAGCUCUAAGUGGGUGGUAAAUUCCAUCUAAAGCUAAAUAUUGGCGAGAGACCGAUAGCGAACAAGUACAGUGAUGGAAAGAUGAAAAGAACUUUGAAAAGAGAGUGAAAAAGUACGUGAAAUUGUUGAAAGGGAAGGGCAUUUGAUCAGACAUGGUGUUUUGUGCCCUCUGCUCCUUGUGGGUAGGGGAAUCUCGCAUUUCACUGGGCCAGCAUCAGUUUUGGUGGCAGGAUAAAUCCAUAGGAAUGUAGCUUGCCUCGGUAAGUAUUAUAGCCUGUGGGAAUACUGCCAGCUGGGACUGAGGACUGCGACGUAAGUCAAGGAUGCUGGCAUAAUGGUUAUAUGCCGCCCGUCUUGAAAAAGGA